AUGGCUCCAAGUAUAACCCCUACUGAGAGAUACUUGCAUAUAGAGCAAGUAGGUGAUCACAGAUCCAGGAAGAGGUCCCUGUUCUGCCUGAUCCAGACCAAGCUCUUGAGCCUGGGUUACCUAAGUCUCAGACUCAAAAUAGACAACAACUUUUUCACAGAAGAUAUCUGCAAGUAGUUCUGUUUCAUGCUUCUCAGCAGUGCAGCAUGUUCACUGAAGGGGGUGAACUCAGCAGUUGCAGAGAUUUUCUAGGAACCAAGAAAACUGAGCAGGCCACUUUUCCAGCAUCCUAAAAUCUUACAUUUGAUAAUGCUCUGACCUGAAACACUGUUGCUUCAACCUUCUCCUGGGGCAGAGAAUUAAAUCCUUUCUUUUGUAAAGUUUGUUAAUGUGGACUAUAAAUCACAGUGGAUCCCAGCACCAUGAGGGAAACAUCCACUGUCCAAUUGCUUUGAAUUCUAACAUUUCAUGCUCUGCUGUAAAAGUAAAGCUUUGUAGCMACAAGGGUAAAAUAGCACGUCUUCCUGAGGACUUCAGAGUCAAAUAUGUGUGAAGUCAUGCUGGACUUUACAAAACUGUGAAAAAAGGAAAGGAAAAAAGGUGAUAAAAAGAAAAAUAAAUGAAAAGGAGAGGAAUAAGAGGGAGAAAGC
rnacentral:lncRNA from 1 species